rnacentral:lncRNA from 1 species
UUUCAUCCAUUGCUAACCCCGUUGAGCUUGUACGCCUUUGUUUGUGUAAACCAUCAUGUUAACCAUAAUCCAUACACUUCCUACCCUCGCUCGGCAUGACUAUUGUAGUGUAAAAUUUGUGCAAAAAGAUAAGUUUGGGGUAUUAAUCCUUAGAAGAAAUGUUGAAAAAGGGCAAGUGCAAGAAAAGGAAAAAACGAUAAAUGUGUAGAAACAUCCGCUUCUACUGAAAAAAAAAUGAAGAAAAAAAUAUAGAGAGAAAUGAAGAAUAAGCACUUCCCUUAGAAAUAGACUCAUGCAUUAAUGUGAAUUUAAGUGAAAAAGAGUCAAGAUUGGAC